CGUAACCAAGGAGCGUGCAGACACUGGUAUGGCAUAUAGAUGAGAUAUAAGAGUACAUCAUUACGGAACAAGUGACUCAUCUACUGAGUACUUUGCUAUCAAGAGUAGCUCAUAAAAUAUAUGGACAUAAGUAUCCCUUGGAUUUGAGAUGACCAUAGUGACUUACAAGCAACUCACUGUGUUUAGGUACCGGACUACUUAUAUUUCUAAUGC
rnacentral:lncRNA from 1 species